rfam:Micromonospora rosaria strain DSM 803 contig048, whole genome shotgun sequence.
CUUCAGCGAGCCGAGCCAGAGCGGCCGGUCCGGGUCCCGGUCGGCGCCGUACGUGGCGAGCAGGGCCUGCGCCUC